rnacentral:rRNA from 1 species
UUUCGCAAUGCCCGAAAGGGUGACGAAGCGACGCCGCGUGAGUGAGGAAGGCCUUCGGGUUGUAAAGCUCUGUCAGGAGUUAAGAAAUAUAAGUGUGUUAAUACCACAUUUAUUUGACGAAGGCUCCAAAGGAAGCCACGGCUAACUCUGUGCCAGCAGCCGCGGUAAUACAGAGGUGGCAAGCGUUGUUCGGAAUUAUUGGGCGUAAAGAGCACGUAGGUGGGUUUGUAAGUCAGAUGUGAAAGCCUUCUGUUCAACGGAAGAAUUGCAUCUGAAACUGCGAGUCUUGAGUGUAGGAGGGGAGAAUGGAACUUCUGGUGGAGCGGUGAAAUGCGUAGGUAUCUGAAGGAACGCCGGCGGCGAAAGCGAUUCUCUGGCCUAUUACUGACACUCAGUGUGCGAAAGCUAGGGGAGCAAACGGGAUUAGAUACCCCGGUAGUCCUAGCUGUAAACGAUGGGCACUAAGUAGAGGGGUUUUA